rnacentral:lncRNA from 1 species
UCUGGCGUGUGGAACUCCAUCCCAGGCAUGGUUUGGAGGUGAUGCUGGAAGAGCACGAAGAGGGGCCUGCGUGAGGGGUGGUGGGAGGACAGGCUCUGGGUGCUGGUUCUUGUCCCCUGGGCAGUCAGUGCAGGUUAGCUGGCACCCACUGACUGUUGGAAAUCAUGGAGGCCCCUGAGCUCUGUCCUCGAGACAGCAUUUUGUUGUGGGUGGAAAAUGUCCCCUUCUCUCCCUGUUUCCAGCAGCAGAACCCUGGAGGGCUCAGGGCAGUGAAGAGUCCCAUCCUCUGGGAGUCACAGGGAUGCCUUGGGGAGGAGAGCUAGCCAUGACCCAGCUCAAGAAGUUGGCUGACUGUCUUGUAAGCCAGCUGUCCUUGUCACAGAGGACUAGAAGUUGUAUAAGGUUGAUAUAUCCAGCACUGAAUCACACGUUUGUCAUUUAGAAUUUAGAGGGACCCAGUGUUUGUGUUGGAAUCUGGGCUGGAAGGGAAACAAGGGCAGGAACAGGGCCCCCGGAUACCCCUUAGAAACCUUCCUACACUCUGAUAAUUGGAUUGUAAGCCAGAACGUUGGCUUGAAUUCUAAAUGAAACUAAAGACAGCCCGUGCUUCUGCUCAGGGUAGGGGACAGAAACCUUACCAGAAAGAGGACCCAUGCCCUGGCUGGGCACUGACAGCUGCCAUCUCCACCCUGUGAAGCCAGGUCCCUUAGGAGAGCGAGAACUGUGCUGCUGCUUCUCUCUGAGGACCAGUGGAGACAGGGCCACUGCUGAUGUCCGUGAAACCCCCAACUCCAUUGAGGUUCCUGAGUUGCAGUAGCAAUGUCAGCCCUGCAGUUUCCCAGGAAACCAGUCAGCUGCCAGUCAAGUUCUGUGA